rnacentral:rRNA from 1 species
AUCGCUAAUGGUAGGAAGCGUAAAAACAUGAUCCAUUCUUUUUCUGAUGGUGAGGUGAUGAUUGAGGGCACCGAAAACCUUCUGAAUUAUGCUACCUCCUAUUACAAGGACCUCUUUGGGCCCGCCCCUGGAAACCUUUUCCACACUUCCCCUGAAACAAGGAGACAACAUGAGAAACUUAAUGAUGAUGAUAAUGAGUUUCUAACUCGGCCCUAUUCCGAGGAAGAUGUAAAAGUGGCUCUGUUUGGGAUGGAUAGUAAUAGAGCUCCUGGGGAUAAUAUACCCAUGGAGUUUUACAAAAGUUGUAGGGAUUUCGUCAAUACCGAUAUCAUGUGCCUCUUCAAGGCUUUCCACGCGGAUACUCUGGAUGUAGCGCGUCUGAAUUUUGGUUUGAUCACCUUGAUCACGAAGCUGCCAGGAGCAAAGAAAAUUCCAACAAUUCCGUCCUAUCUGCCUUCUUCGCUGCCCAUAUAA